rnacentral:lncRNA from 1 species
GGAAGGGUCUCUGAUCACCUCUCAUGAGGAGAUGCGUCCUGCUGCCUCAUUGCAAUGGCCUCAGGAAUAAGGAAUCAAGACCCACCUGGUGUGACGAAUAAACCUGGACUCUCAGCAAUGAAGGAAGAAAAGUCCUACAAAUACUGUGGCGACCAGGUAACUCCUCUGCACACACCAAGGAUUCAAGGCCUCCUAGCGCAAACACCACCUCUCAAAUUCCCAGUCCACCAACAUCAACCCAGAGAUCACAUCCUUGUCAAAAUCUGGAAAGAGGGAAAGCUUGAGCCCACCUGAGAAGAACCUUACCUAGUGCUCCUAACAACUGAGCAGUCCGAACUGCUGAAAAGGGGUGGAUCCAUUAUACCCAAGUCAGAAAGGCACUGCCCUCUCCAAAGCCAUGGACCGUCGUCCCAGGGCCAACUCUCACCAGAGUAACAUUAAAGAGAAAAGCCUAAUCUGUCUUUUUUUCCUCUUCUCUUUCCCUUAGCUGCCUCUCGUCUUAUUAUUAACUUAACUAGGUCAAGCUCACCCCAAAUCCAAAGCAUUACUUUCAAUGCUUGUCUUGCCAUGCCCCGAGGGAAUCUCCAAAGUCAGAGACAGCUAGCCUCCUAGAAAAGCUCUGCCCAUCCACCCCUUCCAAACCCAGCACCACCUAUAACCUUUGCAAUCAACAACCAUGAGCCUUCCAGGGGUUAUGAUAUAGUUGGGGAGCUGUUAUCUGGACUACCAAAUAUCAGGGCUGGACCUCCUCAGAAGGCUGCACCACCCUAAAAUCCUACCUCCACUUCACCAUAGGAAUCACCCCCUCAAAUUGCCAAAUCCACCAGUGCAACCCAGUACUUCUCUCUAUUCUUAUCCCCACCUCCACUGACCCUAACCCCACUUGUCUUUAUGGCCUAGGAAUGGAUGUCACUGGAAAAGACCCCAUAGGCUCCUCUAAAAUAUCUUUCAUUGGCUGGGCGUGGCGGCUCACACCUGUAAUCCCAGCACUUUGGGAGGCCGAGGCAGGCGGAUCACAAGGUCAAGAGAUUGAGACCAACCUGGCCACCGUGGUGAAACCCCAUCUCUACUAAAAAUACAAAAAUUAGCUGGGCAUGGUGGCACAUGCCUGUAGUCCCAGCUACUCGGUAGGCUGAGGCAGGAGAAUCACUUGAACUUGGGAGGCGGAGGUUACAGUGAGCUGAGAUCGUGCCACUGCACUCCAGCAUGGCGACAGAGACUCUGCCUCAAACAAACAACAACAAAACAAAAAUAAAAACAAAAAAAGUUUUGUUAACCCUUCUCCGUCUCCUACCAACUCACCUCCCCCACGCCCACCAAAUCAAACCAUUUUUCGUUUCUUACCUAAUAAUAAAAAAAUAGCCAUAGUAGAAGUCAUGGACCUAAAGCAAACCUUAGCCAUAGAAACCAGAUAUCAAGAUGUUAAUGCCUGGCUGGAAUGGAUUAAAUAUUCCAUUCACACCC